rnacentral:rRNA from 1 species
GAGGGGGUGCUAGCGUUAUUCGGAAUCAUUGGGCGUAAAGGGUGCGUAGACGGUAUGUUAAGUUUGUUGUUAAAUCUCCCGGGCCUAACCGGGAAUCGGCGGCAAAAACUGGCUUACUUGAGGAUGGAAGAGAGAAGUGGAAUUCUCGGAGUAGCGGUAAAAUGCGUAGAUCUCGAGAGGAACACCAAUGGCGAAGGCAGCUUCUUGGUCCAUUCCUGACGUUGAGGCACGAAAGCGUGGGGAGCAAACAGGAUUAGAUACCCUGGUAGUCCACGCCGUAAACGAUGAUCACUAGACGUCAGCUCCGCUUUGCGGGGUUGGUGUCGCAGCUAACGCGUUAAGUGAUCCGCCUGGGGACUACGGUCGCAAGACUA